CAAUAGCGUAUAUUAAAGUUGUUGCGGUUAAAAGCUCGUAGUUGGAUUUCUGCCGAGGACGACCGGUCCGCCCUCUGGGUGAGCAUCUGGUUCGACCUGGGCAUCUUCUUGGAGAACGUGGCUGCACUUGAUUGUGUGGUGCGGUAUCCAGGACUUUUACUUUGAGGAAAUUAGAGUGUUUCAAGCAGGCACACGCCUUGAAUACAUUAGCAUGGAAUAAUAAGAUAGGACCGCGUGGUCGUCUUGUUGGUUUGCACCGCGAGGUAAUGAUUAAUAGGUACAGUUGGGGGGUAUUCGUAUUUAAUUGUCAGAGGUGAAAUUCUUGGAUUUAUGAAAGACGAACUUCUGCGAAAGCAUUUACCAAGGAUGUUUUCAUUAAUCAAGAACGAAAGUUAGGGGAUCGAAGAUGAUCAGAU
rnacentral:rRNA from 1 species